AUUGAACGCUGGCGGCAGGCCUAACACAUGCAAGUCGAGCGGAUGAAGGGAGCUUGCUCCUGGAUUCAGCGGCGGACGGGUGAGUAAUGCCUAGGAAUCUGCCUGGUAGUGGGGGAUAACGUCCGGAAACGGGCGCUAAUACCGCAUACGUCCUGAGGGAGAAAGUGGGGGAUCUUCGGACCUCACGCUAUCAGAUGAGCCUAGGUCGGAUUAGCUAGUUGGUGGGGUAAAGGCCUACCAAGGCGACGAUCCGUAACUGGUCUGAGAGGAUGAUCAGUCACACUGGAGCUGAGACACGGUCCAGGCUCCUACGGGAGGCAGCAGUGGGGAAUAUUGGACAAUGGGCGAAAGCCUGAUCCAGCCAUGCCGCGUGUGUGAAGAAGGUCUUCGGAUUGUAAAGCACUUUAAGUUGGGAGGAAGGGCAGUAAGUUAAUACCUUGCUGUUUUGACGUUACCAACAGAAUAAGCACCGGCUAACUUCGUG
rnacentral:rRNA from 1 species